GUUUGGGGCUGUCUGCAGGUCAGGAGUACAAAUAACACUGAAAUAUAGCUUAACUUCUGGCAUUUUCUGGGUAGAAAUGCAAGAAACAAGAGAAUUUAGCACGUAGAAAGAGUGUUUUCAAACUUUUGAUUUUUGAACAGGUUUGAUUGACAGACUCGUGGCUUAGGAAAAAAUAGAUUUUUCAAAGAAAUAACAAAACCACGCUUUUCUUGCAUUUCAUAUACACAGGAAAUGCAUCACAAACUGUCUAUAUGGUCUUUAAAGCCUAACCCUUGCUCGGGCACUUCUGCAACCUACAGUAAGUGUAGUGAUGCUGUUAUUUGCGACAGAAAAAGAAAAAUUUGGGUGAGAACGGAAGACUUAACAAGGUUUUAUUGCUUCCUCAAAGCGGUAUCUGGGAAAAGUGUGGCUGCUGUCCUGUGA
rnacentral:lncRNA from 1 species